rnacentral:rRNA from 1 species
GAACUUAAGCAUAUCAAUAAGCGCAGGAAAGAAACCAACAGGGAUUGCUCAGUAACGGCGAGUGAAGCGGCAACAGCUCAAAUUUGAAAUCUGGCCUCUCGGGGUCCGAGUUGUAAUUUGUAGAGGAUGUUUUGGGUACCGCCCCGGUCUAAAUUUCUUGGAACAGAAUGUCAAAGAGGGUGAGAAUCCCGUCUUGGACCGGCGGUAGGGCCUGUGUAAAACUCCUUCGACGAGUCGAGUUGUUUGGGAAUGCAGCUCAAAAUGGGUGGUAAAUUUCAUCUAAAGCUAAAUAUUGGCCAGAGACCGAUAGCGCACAAGUAGAGUGAUCGAAAGAUGAAAAGCACUUUGAAAAGAGAGUUAAACAGUAUGUGAAAUUGUUGAAAGGGAAGCGCUUGCAACCAGACUUGAGCGCGGCGGUUCCCCUGGCCUUUUGGCCAGGUUACUCCGUCGUGUCCAGGCCAACAUCGGUUUCGAGGGUCGGUCAAAGGCUCCGGGAAUGUAUCUACCCACGGGUAGACUUAUAGACCGGGGUGUCAUGCGACCUCUCGGGACCGAGGAACGCGCUUCGGCUCGGAUGUUGGCGUAAUGGUUGUCAGCGACCCGUCUUGAAACACGGACCAAGGAGUCUAACAUCUAUGCGAGUGUUUGGGUGUCAAACCCGGAACGCGAAAUGAAAGUGAACGGAGGUAGGAAGCUUCGGCUGCACUAUCGACCGAUCCUGAAGUUUACGGAAGGAUUUGAGUAAGAGCAUAGCUGUUGGGACCCGAAA